CAAGUCGUACGCUUCUUUUUCCACCGGAGCUUGCUCCACCGGAAAAAGAAGAGUGGCGAACGGGUGAGUAACACGUGGGUAACCUGCCCAUCAGAAGGGGAUAACACUUGGAAACAGGUGCUAAUACCGUAUAACAAUCGAAACCGCAUGGUUUUGAUUUGAAAGGCGCUUUCGGGUGUCGCUGAUGGAUGGACCCGCGGUGCAUUAGCUAGUUGGUGAGGUAACGGCUCACCAAGGCCACGAUGCAUAGCCGACCUGAGAGGGUGAUCGGCCACAUUGGGACUGAGACACGGCCCAAACUCCUACGGGAGGCAGCAGUAGGGAAUCUUCGGCAAUGGACGAAAGUCUGACCGAGCAACGCCGCGUGAGUGAAGAAGGUUUUCGGAUCGUAAAACUCUGUUGUUAGAGAAGAACAAGGAUGAGAGUAACUGUUCAUCCCUUGACGGUAUCUAACCAGAAAGCCACGGCUAACUACGUGCCAGCAGCCGCGGUAAUACGUAGGUGGCAAGCGUUGUCCGGAUUUAUUGGGCGUAAAGCGAGCGCAGGCGGUUUCUUAAGUCUGAUGUGAAAGCCCCCGGCUCAACCGGGGAGGGUCAUUGGAAACUGGGAGACUUGAGUGCAGAAGAGGAGAGUGGAAUUCCAUGUGUAGCGGUGAAAUGCGUAGAUAUAUGGAGGAACACCAGUGGCGAAGGCGGCUCUCUGGUCUGUAACUGACGCUGAGGCUCGAAAGCGUGGGGAGCAAACAGGAUUAGAUACCCUGGUAGUCCACGCCGUAAACGAUGAGUGCUAAGUGUUGGAGGGUUUCCGCCCUUCAGUGCUGCAGCUAACGCAUUAAGCACUCCGCCUGGGGAGUACGACCGCAAGGUUGAAACUCAAAGGAAUUGACGGGGGCCCGCACAAGCGGUGGAGCAUGUGGUUUAAUUCGAAGC
rnacentral:rRNA from 1 species